rnacentral:rRNA from 1 species
GACAGAGGUGCCGAGCGUUAGGCGGAAUCACUGGGCUUAAAGCGUGUGUAGGCGGACUCGUAAGUGCUUUGUGAAAUCCCACGGCUCACCCGUGGAACUGCUUGGCAUACUGCGAGCCUUGAGCCACUUAGGGGCAACCGGAACAAACGGUGGAGCGGUGAAAUGCGUAGAUAUCGCUUGGAACGCCGAAGGUGAAAACAGGCUGCUGGGGUUGUGCCGACGCUGAGACACGAAAGCCAGGGGAGCAAACGGG